UACGUAGGGGGCUAGCGUUGUCCGGAUUUAUUGGGCGUAAAGAGCGUGUAGGCGGCCGGGUAGGUCUGGUGUGAAAACUCGAGGCUUAACCUCGAGAUGUCAUCGGAAACCAUCUGGCUAGAGUCCGGAAGAGGAGAGUGGAAUUCCUGGUGUAGCGGUGAAAUGCGCAGAUAUCAGGAAGAACACCAAUGGCGAAGGCAGGUCUCUGGGACGGUACUGACGCUGAGACGCGAAAGCGUGGGGAGCGAACAGG
rnacentral:rRNA from 1 species